GGGUCCCUGUGCCGCUGACGUCCCGAGCAGUGCUGGGAAGUAUAGGCUGUGUUGUCACGCCGGUGUCAGUCUGAUGAAGAUUGGCAUCAGGUGAAGUCUGGAGCAGGACUUCUGAGGCUUUCUAUCCUCCAUGCUGCUCACUAGAAAAGGGGCUGUGAACUGUGCUUUGGCUCUAGCAGACAGGAAGAAAUUCUGGCCCAGCUGGAAGUAGAAAGAGGGGAGUGAGUCUCCUGAGGACCAUCUCAGAGGCCCCGGGAUCACCCAAACAAUGACGGCAACCGCCCAGCCACCCUCCAAGGCCCAGGCUGUCCACAUCUCUGCCCCCUCAGCUGCUGCCAGCACACCUGUGCCCAGUGCCCCCAUCGACCCCCAGGCCCAGCUGGAGGCUGACAAGCGAGCUGUAUACAGGCACCCUCUUUUCCCGCUCCUGACGCUGCUGUUUGAGAAAUGUGAACAGGCCACCCAGGGCUCUGAGUGCAUCACCUCCGCCAGCUUUGAUGUGGACAUCGAGAACUUUGUCCACCAGCAGGAACAGGAGCACAAACCCUUCUUCAGCGAUGACCCAGAACUGGACAAUCUGAUGGUGAAGGCAAUCCAGGUCCUGAGAAUCCACCUUCUGGAGCUGGAGAAAGUCAAUGAACUCUGCAAGGACUUUUGUAACCGUUACAUCACCUGCCUCAAAACCAAGAUGCACAGCGACAACCUGCUCAGGAAUGAUCUAGGGGGGCCCUACUCCCCCAACCAGCCCUCCAUCAACCUUCACUCACAGGACCUCCUGCAGAAUUCCCCCAAUUCCAUGUCUGGAGUCUCCAAUAACCCCCAGGGGAUUGUGGUCCCAGCCUCAGCGCUCCAGCAGGGCAACAUCGCCAUGACAACCGUCAACUCACAAGUUGUGUCAGGUGGAGCCUUAUACCAACCGGUUACCAUGGUAACCUCCCAGGGUCAGGUGGUCACCCAAGCAAUCCCCCAGGGAGCCAUCCAGAUCCAGAACACACAGGUUAACCUUGACCUCACCUCCCUCCUGGACAAUGAGGAUAAGAAGUCCAAGAACAAACGAGGAGUCUUGCCCAAGCAUGCCACCAAUAUAAUGCGUUCUUGGCUCUUCCAGCAUCUCAUGCACCCCUACCCCACGGAGGACGAGAAGAGGCAGAUCGCAGCUCAGACCAACCUCACCCUCCUGCAAGUAAAUAACUGGUUCAUCAAUGCCCGGAGGCGCAUCCUGCAGCCCAUGCUUGAUGCCAGCAACCCAGAUCCUGCCCCCAAAGCCAAGAAGAUCAAGUCUCAGCACCGGCCCACUCAAAGAUUCUGGCCCAACUCCAUCGCUGCAGGGGUGCUGCAGCAGCAGGGCGGUGCCCCAGGGACAAACCCCGAUGGUUCCAUCAACUUGGACAACCUGCAGUCCCUGUCCUCAGACAGUGCCACCAUGGCCAUGCAGCAGGCUAUGAUGGCUGCACACGAUGACUCAUUGGAUGGGACAGAAGAAGAGGAUGAGGAUGAGAUGGAAGAGGAGGAGGAGGAGGAGCUGGAGGAGGAGGUCGACGAGCUGCAGACGACAAAUGUCAGCGACCUGGGCUUGGAACACAGUGACUCUCUGGAGUAGUCGGGCAGCCCAGAUGGCACUGAUCACUGAGCAGGAGAGGAGUGUCGCCGGGAGGCCUUCAGGGUGGGGGGGAAGGGGACACGGGCAGGAAGCACCGAGGGAGUUGGGC
rnacentral:sRNA from 1 species